GUUUCUCAAUCUCCCCUGCUCUAAGAUGGCCAGAUAUGAAAAGCUGCCAAUCGGGAUGCCAGAACAUCAAAGAGAUCGCUCAUGAGAGCACACAAAGUCCCAUUUGUUCAGCACUUGGACGGAGAUGCCAGCAGCUUCCAGGCAGAGGGAGAAUCGAAGCUAAGCAUAUUUUCCUCAAAUAUAACCUGGUCUGCAGAGGUGCAGCUCUGACUUCAACAUCACCAUUAAUAACUUCAUCACCAAGCAAUUUUACCUUCUUGGAGCUGAAAUGUCAAGCAUCACCACUUGUGUGGAGGGACUUUGUAGAGCUAAAAAGCCUACUGGAGUUGUUUCAGAACAACAAAAAAACCACCCCCCAACAAUUGUUGAAGAGUAUUUCAUUUGUGUAAUAAAAGAGCUGAAAAAAAUAUUCCAAUUGAGCAUUCUCUGGACACCCACAGUCCCUUGGCCCUGAAGAAACAGUUGACCUUACUCUGGGAUGGGGCAUUAACAAAAGACAAAAAUUAAGUCCUGAGAAUCAGAACUAAGAGUCAGAAAUACGCAAGUGGUUGACAUCUUUGUGUCUCAGCUUUCUGACCUAUAUCCUAAACAUGAUGUGUGUGAGACUCUUCAUUUGCUGUCUAUGAAUGUAUAAAUGUUAUAAUGUAAGAAUGAAAGAGAGUUGUGAACUCCCUUGAUUCUGCCUCUCUUGUUUGUUCUUUGAAGCCCAAGUGCCCACAGAUACUCAAACUUACUUUCUUAGGAUGCUUUGAAGAUAUGUGAGGAAUCUCAGCAUCAUACCAUGCAGGAUGGGGUUUUCUUCCUUCUUCCCUCUUGCUGGCUUUCUGGAGAUAAGUGUUUUACCCACUCCUUUCCUGAGACCUUGUCUCCUAAUAAUUAAAAAAAAAAGGGUCUGGUAAAAUGGAGAAGCUAUGAAGUGACUGUGCGUCAUAAUUCACUGGAAUUAUGCUAGUGAUAAGGUGGUCAGACUUAUCAAGACAUCAAUUGUUGGCAUUGUUGCUGUGUCUUUCCGAGGCCAGAUCAGCAAAGGUUGUUCCCUUCGAUGCUUUUCUCCUACUUGAGGAGUAAAGGACAUCAAGUGUUAAGGGGAAAGUGGGUGGAUGAUUCACUAUGAACUUGAGCCAGUGGCUGAAAGAGGUUAGAUUAUAGAGGAGGGUGGCAGAGGAUGGGAGAGCAGGGAGGAAGGAUUUUCUGCAGCUCAUCUGAGGUGGGGACUGAUAGGCAUUGCUGAGAGCAGAACAAUAUGUUUAUGCUGGUGUUCUUGUUAUGUUAGAACAAGUUCUUCCUUUUGGUAACAGAUUACACUUUUCUAGUUUUCCACUAAUAAGGGCCUAAUUAAGAGGAUUUAUUUGCAAUUUGGGCUACUGGUCCUGAUUUCUUCCCUUUGCCUCACUCCACUCAUGUCCUUUACAUCAGCAAAAUGGGUGUCCUUUAUUUCUGUAUGCCUGGCAGGGAGGAGGAGAUAGUUUCUCUAUCUUGGGUCAGUUGAUUCUUCUAUACUCAGCUAUCUCACAAGGAGGGGUGUGCAUCCUGGGGAAGCAUCGUCCAUGUAUGCAACACCUUUGGCGUGAAAAUUCUUGAAGGAGCACAAUCAAUUCUGAGGCUGCCCACAAGACCUGACUAGAGUGGGGACAAAGUAGUCUAGUUGCCUUAAACCCAUUCAGGUUCAAUGACUGAAAGAGAUGGAAAGAGUUUAAGGGACAGGCAAUUAUUCACAGUUAUUUCAACUGGUUUCUUACAGCUAUCUUUUUUUUUUUUUUUUUUUUUGAGACAGUGUCUCACUCUGUUGCCUAGGCUGGAGUGCAGUGGCAUGAUCUUAGCUCACUGCAACCUCUGCCCCACGGGCUCAAGUGAUCCUUCUGCCUCAGCGUCCUGAGUAUCUGGGAUCACAGAUGUGUGCCACCAUGCCGGGCUAAUUUUUGUAUUUUUUGCAGACAUGGGGUUUCUCCAUGUUGCCCAGGCUGGUCUCAAACUCCUGGACUCAAGUGAUCUGCCAGCCUUGGCCUCCCAAAGUGUUGGGAUUCAGUUGUCUUUUAAGAAAGGAAAAUUUGCUCUCAAAAACACAUAGGAAAAUGUCAAACUUUUUUGACACUUGAGCAGAUACCCUAUAGAAAGAAUACUAUCUUGUUUUCUCACCACAGUUUCUAAGAAAGUGAGUAGGAAAAAUCCAGUGUUUUUUCAAACGGCC
rnacentral:lncRNA from 1 species